rnacentral:rRNA from 1 species
AGAGUGAACGCUGGCGGCAGGCCUAACACAUGCAAGUCGAGCGGCAGCGCGGGAGUAGCAAUGCUUCUGGCGGCGAGCGGCGGACGGGUGAGGAACACAUCGGAAUCUACCCUGUCGUGGGGGACAACGUAGGGAAACUUACGCUAAUACCGCAUACGACCUUUGGGUGAAAGUGGGGGACUCGCAAGAGCCUCACGCGAUUGGAUGAGCCGAUGUCCGAUUAGCUAGUUGGCGGGGUAAUGGCCCACCAAGGCUUCGACGGGUAGC